rnacentral:lncRNA from 1 species
UUAUGUGGGGUUGUCGUCCAAUCUUGACUCUUUUUUUCACUCAAAUUCAUAUAAAUGCAUGAGUCUAUUUCUAAGGCAAGUGCUUAUUCUUCAUUUCUCUAUAUAGAUACCUUCCUUUUUUUUCAUUUCUUUUUCUCUUUUUUUUUUCUUCGGUAGAAGCGGAUGUUUCUACACCGUUUUUCUUUUUCUCAUUUUUCAACAAUAUUUUUUUU